GUCAGCCACAUCGAGUUCAAAUUUGAAACGACACAUCGAGUUACGCCAUCCGAGCUAUCUUGGCAAAUAUCUGCGACUGAAUGAUGAACGCAAGAAAUCAUUAACGAAGAGAGGACCGCCGCCAAGCACACCCACCCAAGUUAAGCUCACUGCAUUUAGUAAAGGACCUGCUGUUUCCUUCGUUUCCCAGCAACAAGUGGACAAGCUUGUGUUGGAUUACAUUGUGGGAGAUCUGCAGCCUUUGAGUAAGGUCGAGAAGCCAUCGUUCAUCAAAUUAGUGACAGGUUUGCAGCCAUCCAGGCAUGUGCCUUCAAGAAAGCAGGUGUGAAAAUGUGUUGGUUGAGUAUUGCACAUUAAGCAGGGUAAGCCCAAGCUAAGUUUACAUUACAGUACAUGACUACUUUGGUCUGGUUUACAUAGUUACUGCCGUUCAGAAUAUGCUGGAUUUUUGUCAGUAGACUGAUCUUUUCCCCAUGAACCUGAAUAUACCUUAUUUUUAAGUCCUGUAAUUUGGUUCAUGCUGGCUAAAUAAAAGUUUCACUGAACAUACAGUA